rnacentral:rRNA from 1 species
UACGGAGGGUGCAAGCGUUAUCCGGAUUCACUGGGCUUAAAGGGUGCGUAGGUGGUCAGUUAAGUCAGUGGUGAAAUCUCCGGGCUCAACCCGGAAACUGCCAUUGAUACUAUCUGUCUUGAAUAUCGUGGAGGUAAGCGGAAUAUGUCAUGUAGCGGUGAAAUGCUUAGAUAUGACAUAGAACACCAAUUGCGAAGGCAGCUUACUACAGGAAUAUUGACACUGAGGCACGAAAGCGUGGGGAUCAAACAGG